GCAAGUCGAGCGCGGGAAGCAAACAGAAUCCUUCGGGAGGACGUUUGUGGAACGAGCGGCGGACGGGUGAGUAACACGUGGGCAACCUACCUGUAAGACUGGGAUAACACCGGGAAACCGGUGCUAAUACCGGAUAGAGUUUCCUCUCGCAUGAGAGGAAACGGAAAGGCGGCUUCGGCUGUCACUUACAGAUGGGCCCGCGGCGCAUUAGCUAGUUGGUGGGGUAGUGGCUCACCAAGGCAACGAUGCGUAGCCGACCUGAGAGGGUGAUCGGCCACACUGGGACUGAGACACGGCCCAGACUCCUACGGGAGGCAGCAGUAGGGAAUCUUCCGCAAUGGACGAAAGUCUGACGGAGCAACGCCGCGUGAACGAAGAAGGUUUUCGGAUCGUAAAGUUCUGUUGUUAGGGAAGAACAAGUACCGUUUGAAUAAGGCGGUACCUUGACGGUACCUAUCGAGGAAGCCCCGGCUAACUACGUGCCAGCAGCCGCGGUAAUACGUAGGGGGCAAGCGUUGUCCGGAAUUAUUGGGCGUAAAGCGCGCGUAGGCGGUUUCUUAAGUCUGAUGUGAAAUCUUGCGGCUCAACCGCAAGCGGUCAUUGGAAACUGGGGAACUUGAGUGCAGAAGAGGAGAGUGGAAUUCCACGUGUAGCGGUGAAAUGCGUAGAGAUGUGGAGGAACACCAGUGGCGAAAGCGACUCUCUGGUCUGUAACUGACGCUGAGGUGCGAAAGCGUGGGUAGCGAACAGGAUUAGAUACCCUGGUAGUCCACGCCGUAAACGAUGAGUGCUAGUGUUAGGGGUUUCCGCCCCUUAGUGCUGGAGUUAACGCAUUAAGCACCUCCGCCUGGGGGAGUACGGCCGCAAGGCUGAAACUCAAAAGAAUUGACCGGGGGCCCGCACAGGCGGUGGGAGCAUGGUGGUUUAAUUC
rnacentral:rRNA from 1 species